AUGUAUAGUAUUUGCGAGUCAUACGUCAACUUCCUCACCUGACAUUUUGGGACCAGACGUUUGCUUGCUGGGCGACGUGUUUAUCCCAGGCGCGUUCUUUCUCUUUGUUAGCUGCUAAACUAAGCUAGGCCUCGACGUUUCAACGUGCACCCAAACGACUCGAAGCAGAAGCGAGAUUGAACGGAUUCUUGUCCAAAAAUAUCUGCCCCACCUUUCAGUCGAUUACAUUGUGUCGUGGGGCUUAGUGGAUUGUCUUCAAAGCACCACUUUUCCAAAGCAAUCGGACGGCUACUCCAGUGCCAUAUAUUUAGAGAGUCACGACACUCCCAUAGGGAUCCAUUAUACGAUUUUACUUCCGGGUACUUCCGGGUUAUGGAGCCUUGGAUAGUUACAAACAUCGCAUUUGUCAUGGCGGACACCAUUCAUUUGAACGGCAGGCUGUCAAGUAUAUUCGGAGGUCAUGUGUUGUAUUUAUAUAUGAUAUACAUCAUGCUGGUGCCUGCUAAUGUUGACUACUGGAUGCGACUGGUGGCUAUGGCGACUGAGGGAGACUGGUGGCUGUAGACAGUGUGCUGGGAAUAAAGAGGGCAAAUUUACCAAUAGAGAGGAGAAAGCUCAUGGCAUGAGGGAAGGUUGCUGUGCAAACUCGUAGCCUUUCUUUCCAGCUGCUCCACAACAUUGGAGGAUUCCAUGAGGGAAUCAUUCGUUGCCAAACGGAACAGCUGCUCGACAUCCUUUAAGAGAGUGAAGACCUCAUCCGAUGGCCAGUAUAAUGCACCCGUUUUAAACUCUUUCAUCUGCAGCAGGACGGCACUCUGACUCUCUGUUGGUAUUGAUAGGUGCUUCAACCAAUGCACACUGGCAUUGGUUGCAGAGUGAGAAGCUGAUGACCCUCUUCACUAUGCAUCCUGCCAGAUGUUGCCAUUUUGCCUGACAGCGUGGUCCCUGGCGCAUCUGGGCCUAGUGUUGUGGCGCCACCGCUGGUUCCUGAUUGGUCGGCACCCGGCUCAUCCACCCCUGGAUCACCUGGCCUGGAUACGUCAUUGUCAUUGUGCUCACUUUCGCCCAACCUUCCCACCUCAAUUUCUCCCUGAAUGUCUGUAACAAUAACAAGGCAUUCUUAAUUUUAUAUGCAGUCAGUGUUUUUACAUUGUCACCUAUUGUCAUCUCCAAAGUAAGGGUACACUACACUCCGAAAGGGAAAAAAAUAAUAACGGACAUUACUGUUACAUGAAUCAAAUCAUCUGCCACAAUCAGAAACUGCUAUGGCAUUGCCAUGUGUCAACAGUCUGGUGAUAUCAUGGAGUUGGUUCUGCUUUGCUGUUGUAUCCACCAGAAAUGUUUAGUUAUAGGUGAAAAUUAAAUGCAUAAAUAAAGCUAAAUUAUGAAGUAACUAACAAUGAAGUAGAUCGAAAUUUUGUGUGUAAAUCCCAGGACAAUUCCUGACCUCUUGUAUUUGAAGCUGAAUGUAUUAAUAUGAAAAAUGUAAUUAUCUUAUUAGGAGUGUAGUUUAUCCUUGAAUUACUUGGCAUGGGAAAUGUUGUUGACAGCUGGUCUGUAUCAUACCCAAGUUUAACCUGGUGCAAUAUGUAUGGUCGGUUUGAAUUUUGGUUGGAGGCGCACUCCUAAAGGGAAGUUUCCUCCUCUUUGGCUUCGAAUGAUGAAUGAAAAUGGUUUGGACAGCAUCUGGCCUCAAUUUUAAUGUGUGCCCUACUUUCGUUGGCGUAAACUGGUCCUCCUCAAAGUGUUCCUGAUGUUUGGUUCGCAAGAUCAGUUUCCAUUCUACUUAAAAUUUAAAAAAAAAAUUAAAAGUCAUAAUACCGUGACUUACAUGACAGAGUUUAUAGCUGUUGCUGGCCCCCUUCAAUUUCAGAUUUUUACGGCUGACCAUUGCCAGCCAUCGUUUCUGCCGGUCUUUGUCCUUCGGGAAACCAUACAUUCGGUAGCCCUUUUCGGACCGAUUGGUGCAUCCAAAAGCUGCACAACCAACCAUCACGAUCUCUAAAAUGUUAGGUUUGAACACUGAAUCAUUACACCCAAUUUUACCUAUUUAAUAAAAAAUAAAUAUUACUGUAAUAUUAAAUAUUUUCUUUAUCAAAGGGUAAUACGUUAUGUAAUAUAUUACCACAGGUAAGUGUAUCAAGAAAAUCUUGGCAUUCUCUGGAAAAACAGUAUUCUAG